rnacentral:lncRNA from 1 species
CUCUCUGUUCUGAAAAUAUCUUUUUCUGAAAUCUUAUUUCUGCCUCCAAUACACUGCGUCUCCAAUCCAUCCUAAUAAUUGGAAAAAACUACUUUAAAGUUCAUAUGGAACCAGAAUCUACAAAGAACUUAAACAAAUUUACAAGAGAAAAUCAAACAACCCCAUCAAAAAGUGGGCAAAGGAUAUGAACAGACACUUCUCAAAAGAAGACAUUUAUGCAGCCAACAGACACAUGAAAAAAUGCUCAUCAUCACUGGCCAUCAGAGAAAUGCAAAUCAAAACCACAAUGAGAUACCAUCUCACACCAGUUAGAA